GGCGCCUGGGUGGCUCAGUCGGUUGAGCGUCCGACUUCUGUCUUUGCUACCUCUGUACCUUUUGCGCUACAGGCCAGAAAGCUAAAACCUACAUUUCCCAGACUCCCUUGCAGCUAGGGUUUGGAUAGAAUCUAGGUUCAACCAAUCAGAAGCAUUUGCACGAGACUGACUCAGAGCUGGGUUAGAGGUGAACAAUGACAAGGCUCCAGGCAUUGUUUUGCGGGUGCAGAGUGUGGCGGAAGGGCACAGGGCACGGCUCUUGGAAACUGCAGGCUUAGCAGCACCUUCUUGAUUACAUCAGGGGCAGCAGCUUUCACGGUGGCCCCGUUUCACGGUGCAGUUCGGGGAGGCUCAGCCUUCGGUCUUUCUUCAGCUUUCCCAAAGAUUCCGAGCUAGCCGUGCCCUAAAUAAAUCCCUUUCUGUUUUCACUAGCUAAAUGGGCUCUGUUAUCUGCAAUUAAGAACAAGGGGUCAGCAUGAGGCCACCAGAAAAGCCUGCGACCUUGGCUGUAACUCACGUCAUUUUCCAGUCACACAACAGACAGGAGUGGCCAGAGAGUCAGCGACUUGCUUCUGGACCUCAGCUGGCUGAUGGCAGAGCUGAGUCAGGCACGACGAACCUCAGGAAGCUUCUCCGCCAUCUGGACCGGCUGGCGUCCUCCUUCCGCUGCUACUGAAACCCCUGUGAAGGCUCUUGCCCACUUUCCCCUCUCACCCUCUCUGCCUCCUGACCAGCCCUGGUGGCCCCCUAUGUGGCCUUUACGGUGCGACGUGCCUCCUGUGUCUACGGAUCUGUGAGUAUAAAGUCUUCCUCCUUCGUGGCAUUGACUCCCACUUCCGUGGAGUCUUGCCAUACGUGACAAUACCGAACCCCAGCUACCCUGAAAACACCCCACGUGGUGCCUCAGCCAAGUUGUCAAAAGCGCCCCACACCGGGGUCUACAGCCCCAGGUGUCCUGUCUGAAAACAGAGCCAAUGGCCCUGUUCCUGUCUCCAUCCUACCCGGCUUUGCUGUUUUGAGCUGUGCUUCUUCGUCUCCGUCUCUAAAGCUAACACUCGAGGAAGCAAGAUCAUAACAACCGCUGCCGAGAGCCCCCCCUCCGGACUCCGCUUCUGACGGGACACCCAAGGACUGCGUUCUGGAAAAAGCACAGUAAUCCCUGUCUGGCGGGGAUACAGACUUUGAUGCGGACGUCACAAGUGAGGCUUCCGUCUCCUUGUGUAAUGACGUGGGAAGACACUCCCGGGAUGAUGCUGAACGGGAAACACAAGCUACAGCACUGUGAUCUCCCGAAAGAACGGUA